UACAGAGGAUGCAAGCGUUAUCCGGAAUGAUUGGGCGUAAAGCGUCUGUAGGUGGCUUUUAAGUCCGCCGUCAAAUCCCAGGGCUCAACUCUGGACAGGCGGUGGAAACUACCAAGCUGGAGUACGGUAGGGCAGAGGGAAUUUCCGGUGGAGCGGUGAAAGUGCGUAGAGAUCGGAAAGAACACCAACGGCGAAAGCACUCUGCUGGGCCGACACUGACACUGAGGGACGAAAGCUAGGGGAGCGAAUGGG
rnacentral:rRNA from 1 species